rnacentral:rRNA from 1 species
AUGCCUUACACAUGCAAGUCGNACGGUAAACCCGGAGCACAACCCUGGCGACGAGUGGCGAACGGGUCAGUAAUAUAUCGGAAUGUGCCCGGUCGUGGGGGAUAGCCCGGCGAAAGCUUUGCUAAUACCGCAUGAGACCUGAGGAUGAAAGCAGGGGAUCGCAAGACCUUGCGCUAUUGGAGCGGCCGAUGGCAGAUUAGGUAGUUGGUGGGGUAAAGGCUCACCAAGGCAACGAUCGAUAGCUGGUCUGAGAGGACGACCAGCCACACUGGGACUGAGACACGGCCCAGACUCCUACGGGAGGCAGCAGUGGGGAAUUUUGGACAAUGGGCGCAAGCUGAUCCAGCCAUGCCGCGUGCAGGAUGAAGGCCUUCGGGUUGUAAACCGCUUUUGUACGGGACGAAAUCCUCUGGGCUAAUACCUCGGGAGGAUGACGGUACCUGAAGAAUAAGCACCGCCUAACUACGUGCCAGCAGUUGCGGCAAUAC